rnacentral:rRNA from 1 species
AUUGAACGCUGGCGGCAUGCCUUACACAUGCAAGUCGAGCGGUAAGGCCCUUUCGGGGUACGACGAGCGGCGAACGGGUGAGUAACACGUGGGUGACCUGCCUCUAGCUCUGGGAUAAGCCUGGGAAACUGGGUCUAAUACCGGAUAUGACUCCACGGCGCAUGUUGUGGGGUGGAAAGCCUUGUGUGGCUAGAGAUGGGCCCGCGCCUAUCAGCUUGGGUGGGUGAUGGCCUACCAAGGCGACGACGGGUAGCCGGCCUGAGAGGGCGACCGCCGACACUGGGACUGAGACACGGCCCAGACUCCUACGGGAGGCAGCAGUGGGGAAUCUUGCGCAAUGGGCGAAAG